rnacentral:tRNA from 1 species
AGAGUAUAGCUCAGUGGCAAGAGUGUAUGCUGAGCAUGCAUGAGGUCCUGGGUUCAAUUCCCAAUACCUCCA